rnacentral:lncRNA from 1 species
AUUAUAUGUAAUAACUUUUCAACAUAUGUUUUCCAAUAGUAUAUGAUCCCAAAUGAUCUCUUAAUUCUUUUUUUUAAUUUUUAAAAAAAUUUAAACCCUUACCUUCUGUCUUGGAGUCAAUAUUGUGUAUUGGUUCCAAGGCAGAAGAGUGGUAAGGACUAGGCAAUGGUGGUUAAGUGACUUUCCUAGGGUCAUACAGCUAGGAAGUAUCUGAGGUCAGAUUUGAACCUAGGACCUCCCGUCUCUAGGCCUGGCUGUCAAUUCACUGAGCUAUCCAGCUGCCCCCUGAUCUCUUAAUUCUUAACCAAGCCUUCUCUGUUCUAACCGCUCUACUUUUUCCCAUUUUGACUCCUUGGUGAAACAAUUUAACUACUCACUGUCCUUCUCUAUUGAAUGCCUCAUUUCCUUAUUAUAUUGCUGAUUAUGCACAGUCAAGCCAGAGCCUUCCAUCAUCCCCAUCAUUCACUUCUACACAUGUGCUGCUGAAUGAAGAUAGAAAAAUAUUAUGCAAGCAUUCUGACUGAGUUCUCUACAAAUUUAUGUUGUACAGCCUCAACUGGAGCCUCACAGCUGCAUUUUCCUUCAUUAGAAUGUAAGUUUCUCAACUUUCUGGAAUGGAGGCAAGAUGGAGGAGUAACUAGAGCAGCAGUUUCAUAUCACCAUGAGAAUCCUCACUGACCAAGACUAAAAUAUCACCACAAAAUGAAUACAGGAAUGAAAAAAGCCAACAAGGAGACAGAGUGAAACAACUUUCAAGAAAAGAAAAACCUAAAAGGUAGGCAUACAACAUCUAGGGCACUAGCUUGAGAGGAAAGCUUAGCCAGCAAAAGGCUAUAACAAAGAGUGAAGAGCAAGCCAAGAGCAAAACCACACACACCCACACACUCCCCACAUCUGCUGUCACAGGUUCCAAACUUAAGCCCAAAGUAAAAUUCAAACUUGAGAAAAGACGUGUACAACAAUAUCCAUAGCUGCGCUCUUUGUGGUAUAAAAAAAAUUGGAAAAUGAGGGGGAUGCCCUUCAAUUGGGGAAAUGGCUGAACAAAUUGUGGGUAUCUCUUGAUGAUGGAAUACUACUGUGCUAAAAAGAAAUANAUAGAAUACUGAACUGGAAGAAUUCCAUGUGAACUAGAAGGACCUCCAGGAAUUGAUGCAGAGUGAAAGGAGCAGAACCAGGAGAACAUUAUAUACCCAGAGACUGAGACACUGUGGUACAAUUGAAUAUAAUGGACUUCUCUACUAGCAACAAUGCAAUGAUCCAGGACAAUACUGAGGGACUUAUGAGAAACAAUGCUAUCAACAUUCAGAGAAAGAACUGUGGGAGUAGAAACACAAAAGAAAGACAUUUCCUUGAUCACAUGAUUCAAUGAGGAUAUGAUUGGGGAUGUAGACUCUAAAUAAACACUCUAUUGCAAAUAUUCA